CUCAUCGAAUGGGUAAUUGCGGGCGUAUGAGAGCCUCACGGCCUCAUUGUUUGCGAAUGCAUGUUCUUUGGGUGUACUUUUUCGUAUGGUAGGUCAACGUCGGUUUCGAUUACUAUAAAAUGAUCGGAGGAAUGUAGCUUCGAUUUCGGUUGAAGUGUUAUAGCCUUUGGUAGAUGUAGUGAUUGAGACCGAGGAUUGCAACGAAUACCCUUUGGGCUAUCCGUCUGACCUCUGAAAGUUGCUUAGGUGCCGAAAGCUUGCUUACGGUUAUUUAAGCCUGCGGUCAAAAGGUUAGAACGUGAUUACAUUCGUUAAGGAUGUUGACGUAA
rnacentral:rRNA from 1 species